UAGGGCUUGCUAUGGGGCUGCCCCAUAGAGGGUUAGGGGGCGCUGUGGGGCAGCUCCAUAGCGCUAUGGGGCACAGGAGGAGGAGCUGCCUGAGGUGACGCUGAGGGAGCUGGAGCUGCUGAGAGAGGCUGAGGCUGAACUGGGACCCCCAGAAGAGGAAGUGCCUGAGGUGCCGGAGCUGGUGGAGGUCCCACCUCCCAUCCUCCCUGCGGUGCCCCCUAUCACGGU